rnacentral:rRNA from 1 species
AUACGUAGGGGGCGAGCGUUGUCCGGAAUGAUUGGGCGUAAAGGGCGCGUAGGCGGCCCGGUAAGUCUGGAGUGAAAGUCCUGUUUUUAAGAUGGGAAUUGCUUUGGAUACUGUCGGGCUUGAGUGCAGGAGAGGUAAGUGGAAUUCCCAGUGUAGCGGUGAAAUGCGUAGAGAUUGGGAGGAACACCAGUGGCGAAGGCGACUUACUGGACUGUGACUGACGCUGAGGCGCGAAAGUGUGGGGAGCAAACAGGAUUAGAUACCCUGGUAGUCCACACUGUAAACGAUGAAUGCUAGGUGUAGGGGGUAUCGACCCCUUCUGUGCCGCAGUCAACACAAUAAGCAUUCCGCCUGGGGAGUACGGCCGCAAGGUUGAAACUCAAAUGAAUUGACGGGG